GAUGAAGAACGCAGCAAAAUGCGAUAAGUAAUGUGAAUUGCAGAAUUCAGUGAAUCAUCGAAUCUUUGAACGCACAUUGCGCCCGCCAGUAUUCUGGCGGGCAUGCCUGUUCGAGCGUCAUUUCAACCCUCAAGCACAGCUUGGUGUUGGGACUCGCGUUAAUUCGCGUUCCCCAAAUUGUUUGGCGGUCACGUCGAGCUUCCAUAGCGUAGUAGUAAAACCCUCGUUACUGGUAAUCGUCGCGGCCACGCCGUUAAACCCCAACUUCUGAAUGUUGACCUCGGAUCAGGUAGGAAUACCCGCUGAACUUAAGCAUAUCAAUAAGCGGAGGA
rnacentral:misc_RNA from 1 species